CAGCAGCCGCGGUAAUACGAAGGGGGCUAGCGUUGUUCGGAUUUACUGGGCGUAAAGCGCACGUAGGCGGAUCGAUCAGUCAGGGGUGAAAUCCCAGAGCUCAACUCUGGAACUGCCUUUGAUACUGUCGAUCUGGAGUAUGGAAGAGGUGAGUGGAAUUCCGAGUGUAGAGGUGAAAUUCGUAGAUAUUCGGAGGAACACCAGUGGCGAAGGCGGCUCACUGGUUCAUUACUGACGCUGAGGUGCGAAAGCGUGGGGAGCAAACAGGAUUAGAUACCCCCGUAGUCCCUGUCUCUUAUAC
rnacentral:rRNA from 1 species